AAUGGUGAGAAUGGGCGUCAGCCAAACACAAAGGAAUCUCUCUCACAACCUUCUGUCUUCAGAUCAUAACCAAAUGACUCUUAGAGACAAAAAUGGAAGGUUCAAGUGAAGACUUCUUUCUUGGAAAAAGGGACUUUCAAUACAAAUUCUGAAGAGUUGAAGUUCCAGGCACAAGGCAUCAAGAAGUGGGGAGAGGAGCCAUUUAAGCAGCUCCCGACCCGACCAUUGUUGCACACAGUGACAAAUCCCAACUCAUAUUAUAGAAGCCUAGCUUUGAGUCCAUCUACAAUAAUGGAGAUUUCCAGCUUAUUAUCACAUCAAGCAUUUUAAAACACGGUUUUGGAGAUCAAAACUCAGAUCCUCACAUUUGCAAGAAGAAACUUAGAAGAUGAUCUUACUUCCCAUAACUUCUGUAUAUCAAAGAAAAAGGAAGGACGAGCUGCCUAUACACCGAGUCUUAGAGAACUCUCCUCAGGAUAUUAGCUUUCUUAAUGGAAGGACUCCCAGGUUCUCACACUGUUAAGGGUCCAGGGGACAUGAUGGAAAUGAAGGAACAAAGACUUGUCAUUGCCAGAGGAUGGGAAGCGUGCCCUGAAACACUGUCUUCUGAAUAUGAACUAGCUGAUGUCAUCAUGAACACAGUGUCUAUGACUGCCUGUACAAGACCUGCAUGGACAAGAAAACAUCAAAGUAAAGGAGGGGGAAGUUAAUACAAAGAGGGUUGUUAGAAGUUGGAGGGAGAUAGAGGAUAAUGGAAGUGAGUACAUUCACCAAAUAUGUGGAUGAAAUUUCCAAAAUUCAAAUUGUGAUGUUAAAAUGCUGAUUUAAAAGAAAGGGAGUUAUUGCCUUUGAAGCACAUUGGACAACAGAAAACCUAAAGAGGAGCCAUGUCAUUCAAGGCCUCGAUAAGUAAGAAUAUUAUUCUAAAUGUAUAGGAAAGCUUUGUCAGGCCAUGAUCAUAUUUGUUUCAAUAGCAGUUGUUGUGUAACUAGAACAUGGAUGCCAAGAGGCAGACACAUUAGUUACAAGAUUACAGGAAGGACAUAGACAUCCUCUUUAAAAAUGUAUUAGGUCCUUAUGACUUGGUAUGGGGGAGUCAUCCAAGCUGGAAUAGAAAGAAAAGAAUUGUAAUCGUCAUUAAAAAUAAAAGCCCCUCUUCAUCUCAAAGCAGUCCCUGGAGCACAUGGCCCCCAAGGUGGGCAGAUGCUUCUGGAGAGAAGCUUGUUCUCUGAUGGGUAAAUUACUGGUCUUUACACCGUGCAAAGUUUAUGCUUAGCAUAACCUUUUGUCUGGUUCAACUUAUAGUCCUGUGGUUAACUGUAAUUAGUUAUAUGAGAGCCUAACCUUAUAAAAACUACGACACUGAUCAGUUCCUCCAUUUUCUUCACACGUGGAAGCUUGUUUUUUGCCUAUGCUUGAAGAUGAAAAUAAAAUAGAAUCUUGCU